AGAGUUUGAUCCUGGCUCAGAACGAACGCUGGCGGCGUGCUUAACACAUGCAAGUCGAGUGCGCGGUUGUAGCAAUACAACUGGCGCACGGCGCACGGGUGCGUAACACGUGGGCAAUCUGCCCUUCGAUGGGGAAUAACUCCGGGAAACCGAAGCUAAUUCCGCAUAACAUUCCUUGGACCUCGGUUCGAGGACUCAAAGCCGUAAGGCGUCGAAGGAGGAGCCCGCGCACGAUUAGCUAGUUGGUAGGGUAACGGCCUACCAAGGCUUUGAUCGUUAGCUGGUCUGAGAGGAUGGCCAGCCACACUGGAACUGAGACACGGUCCAGACUCCUACGGGAGGCAGCAGUGGGGAAUCUUGCACAAUGGGCGAAAGCCUGAUGCAGCGACGCCGCGUGGGGGAUGAAGCAUUUCGGUGUGUAAACCCCUUUCGACCCGGACGAAUGCCUCGCAAGAGGAGUGACGGUACGGGUAUAAGAAGCCCCGGCUAACUACGUGCCAGCAGCCGCGGUAAGACGUAGGGGGCCAGCGUUGUUCGGAAUUACUGGGUGUAAAGGGUUCGUAGGCGGUGUGGCAAGUUGGGAGUGAAAUCUCUGGGCUCAACCCAGAGGCUGCUUCCAAAACUGCUGUGCUUGAGUGUGGGAGAGGCGCGUGGAAUUGCAGGUGUAGCGGUGAAAUGCGUAGAUAUCUGCAGGAACACCCGUGGCGAAAGCGGCGCGCUGGACCACAACUGACGCUGAGGAACGAAAGCUAGGGGAGCAAACAGGAUUAGAUACCCUAGUAGUCC
rnacentral:rRNA from 1 species